rnacentral:rRNA from 1 species
UACGUAGGGUGCAAGCGUUAAUCGGAAUUACUGGGCGUAAAGCGUGCGCAGGCGGUGAUGUAAGUCAGGUGUGAAAUCCCCGGGCUUAACCUGGGAACUGCAUUUGUGACUGCAUUGCUGGAGUGCGGCAGAGGGGGAUGGAAUUCCGCGUGUAGCAGUGAAAUGCGUAGAUAUGCGGAGGAACACCGAUGGCGAAGGCAAUCCCCUGGGCCUGCACUGACGCUCAUGCGCGAAAGCGUGGGGAGCAAACAGG